rnacentral:lncRNA from 1 species
GUACUUACAUAUAAUAAUAAAUAAAUCUUUAAAAAAAAAAAAAAAAAAAAAAACUUUGUAUGGAUGUUGGCAGUUGAAUGUAUAUUGGCCUUAACUCAGGCUCACAGUGGUAGGUACCUCAGGAAGUAUGAUCCUCUUGGAUCAAGAAAGGGUGGGAGGUAAGUUAAGAGACCCAAAGAAUCGGGUUUGGAACUUGUGAGAUACCAGAGGCCCAUCCAAGUGGAAAGAUAAUCACCAGACAGACAAUAAGAAAUGCACAGUGGAAGUGGAAGUCAGACUGCACGUACCUCCUUAGGAACUGUCUGUGGAUUUGAAGCCAUAGAAAUGAAUUAAAAGAUUUUAAGAGCAAAAUCUUAAAGUUAAAAUAUAGUGCAAUUAGCAGAAAUGAGGUACUGGUAUUUAACUACAUUUUGGUCACUUCACAUUAAAAUUGUUUUAUGAUUAUGUAAAUUGUUAUACUGAAGGUUAUUUGGGUCCUGGUUUACACAGUGAACCUGUAUCGACAUUCAUUUUGAUCUUGGCUUUCAUAAUAGAAUACCAUAUUGUACUUUUAAAUAUUGACACUCAUACAUAAAUGUAUCUUUGCAGUUAGUUUCUUUAUGAAUUGAAAAGUAGAGCUAGUUUUACAGUUAUGAGGACUUGGAUACAAUUGUAAACACUGCAGCAUUAGUUGAAUUUUACUUGAGCAAACUGUGUUGUUUUAUUGGCUAGAGUGAUUUCUCUGCCUCCACCAGGAUUAUACAACCUGAAUGCUGGCUUGGGCUUUUUUGUCUUGUGAGGUAGGAGACUUCCAAACAGUUUUCUAACAUAACCUUAGUUUAACAUCAGGAGGGAUGAGAGAGUGUAUGUGUAUCUAAGCCUUAAACCUGGGGCAUGUUGCUCUUUUGAGUUUUACAGCCUGAAGUUAUUUUCCAAACGAUGAGAGCACAGCAGUUAUAUUGCCCUCUUUGCUUCUGCCAUGCAAGCAAGUAGGAAGUUCAGAUAGUUUCAUAACAUGGCCCAUUCACAAUUCCCCAUUGAAAUUUAGAGGCAGGUCACCUUCUAUGAAUACACAAAGACAACUAUUGUGGUCAGAAGUGAGCUGGCUUAGUGAACACAAUUCUUUUUAU